GCAGCACGGGUGCUUGCACCUGGUGGCGAGUGGCGAACGGGUGAGUAAUAUAUCGGAACGUACCUUAUUGUGGGGGAUAACGCAGCGAAAGCUGUGCUAAUACCGCAUAAUCCCUUAGGGGGAAAGCGGGGGACCGUAAGGCCUCGCGCAAUUAGAGCGGCCGAUACCUGAUUAGCUAGUUGGUGAGGUAAAGGCUCACCAAGGCAACGAUCAGUAGCUGGUCUGAGAGGACGAUCAGCCACACUGGGACUGAGACACGGCCCAGACUCCUACGGGAGGCAGCAGUGGGGAAUUUUGGACAAUGGGGGCAACCCUGAUCCAGCAAUGCCGCGUGAGUGAAGAAGGCCUUCGGGUUGUAAAGCUCUUUUGUCAGGGAAGAAACAGCAGCUCUAACACAGUCUGCGAAUGACGGUACCUGAAGAAUAAGCACCGGCUAACUACGUGCCAGCAGCCGCGGUAAUACGUAGGGUGCAAGCGUUAAUCGGAAUUACUGGGCGUAAAGCGUGCGCAGGCGGUUAUGUAAGACAGGCGUGAAAUCCCCGGGCUUAACCUGGGAAUUGCGCUUGUGACUGCAUAGCUAGAGUAUGUCAGAGGGGGGUAGAAUUCCACGUGUAGCAGUGAAAUGCGUAGAGAUGUGGAGGAAUACCAAUGGCGAAGGCAGCCCCCUGGGAUAAUACUGACGCUCAUGCACGAAAGCGUGGGGAGCAAACAGGAUUAGAUACCCUGNUAGUCCACGCCCUAAACGAUGCUGACUAGUUGUUCGGGAAUUUAUUCCUGAGUAACGUAGCUAACGCGUGAAGUCAGCCGCCUGGGGAGUACGGUCGCAAGAUUAAAACUCAAAGGAAUUGACGGGGACCCGCACAAGCGGUGGAUGAUGUGGNUUAAUUCGAUGCAACGCGAAAAACCUUACCUACCCUUGACNUGCCACUAACGAAGUANAGAUACAUU
rnacentral:rRNA from 1 species